GUUGAAUUUUCUACAUUUUCAUUUUUUAAUAAAUGAAAACGAAGUCCACGAUUGGCUAACAUUAUUUCUGCAACUUUCAUGGCAGUCUCAGUAUGAAGACUGCAACUACACCUGGACUUUUCAUGCCAGGAGUUCCUAUUGAAGAUGGCAUGUUCAAACCAGAACCACCAAAUAUACAGCCUGUUGUUGUUGAGCAAACUAUACUGUUUUAAUGUAAUAAAUAUAAUUUAUCAAUACUUCCAAAUUAAAAUCCAAUAUUUUUUUACUAUGAAAAAAAAUAUGGAAACUAUUUGAA